rnacentral:rRNA from 1 species
AUUGAACGCUGGCGGCAGGCCUAACACAUGCAAGUCGAGCGGAUGAAGGGAGCUUGCUCUCUGAUUCAGCGGCGGACGGGUGAGUAAUGCCUAGGAAUCUGCCUGAUAGUGGGGGACAACGUUUCGAAAGGAACGCUAAUACCGCAUACGUCCUACGGGAGAAAGCAGGGGACCUUCGGGCCUUGCGCUAUCAGAUGAGCCUAGGUCGGAUUAGCUAGUUGGUGAGGUAAUGGCUCACCAAGGCGACGAUCCGUAACUGGUCUGAGAGGAUGAUCAGUCACACUGGAACUGAGACACGGUCCAGACUCCUACGGGAGGCAGCAGUAGGGAAUAUUGGACAAUGGGCGAAAGCCUGAUCCAGCCAUGCCGCGUGUGUGAAGAAGGUCUUCGGAUUGUAAAGCACUUUAAGUUGGGAGGAAGGGCAUUAACUUAAUACGUUAGUGUUUUGACGUUACCGACAGAAUAAGCACCGGCUAACUUCGUGCC